AGUGAGUCCAAAUGAAAAGGAUGAGAUUCAAGAGGAAAGGAAGACUCAGCAGGCAUAGUCAAUAUGUUAACCAGAAAAAGAAGAGGAAUGAACUACAGUUGUGCCUCGGUGUCUGUGGGGGAUUGGAUCAGGACCCCAUGCGGGUACCAAAAUCCACGGAAGCUCGAGGCCCUCAGUCACCCACCACUGAUCCUUGGGGUGCCCAUGGCCAAGUGCAUAUAACUUCCUCAUUGAUGGGGAAUCCACUAUCCUCCAUGGAGACACACACCAUCAAGGACAAGCACCUGGAUCAUCUCCUCCCCGCAAAGAGAUACAGGCUGGUGGGAAAGCUGCUGACCAGUCAGGUGACGGGCUCCCUCCUCUCUAAAUUGCCUUGCUGCGCAAUUGGUGAGCGAACUCACUUCAGCUUCGGUAACAGCAACACUAGAGGAAGAAGAGCAAGGCUGCGAAGGGCCAAUUAACAGACACGCAUUGAGAAGACGCCUACUGACUCACUAGGAAAUCCAAUUCUCACUGUGAUAUCCAACCAGACUUCUGGAAAACCUACCUUACAUUGGUUACUAGGGUCAUGGAAUGAAGGCUGAGGGACAGUCACAUGGACUGGGCUGAACUGGGGAAGUGAGGGUGUCACAGUGAAGACUCAACUGUAUUUGACGGUCCCAGUGAUAGCUGAACUGUUUUGGUGUUGAUGAAAUUAUGGAGAUUACUAUGAGCCCAAUUAUGAGAUGUUGGAAAACAAGUGCAGUCACAGAGAAUCGCAAUAGAAGGAAUCAGGAAUGACCCAAAAGAGGCCAUUUGAACCAGCCCGAGGCAGGCUGCCCCAGUUGUCCAAAAGGUCUGCUUUUCACUAAAAUGCAAAACAACUGGCAUUCCUGUUUUCCCAAAGAUGUACAUCCUGCUCUUCCAGAUGCUGAGAGGCAGACUGUUGCAGGGCAUGGAUGGUGGUGGUGGUGAACCAUCA
rnacentral:lncRNA from 1 species